UACCAGCACCCCGAGUGGCCGGGACGUUUAUUGGGCCUAAAGCAUCCGUAGCCGGUUCUACAAGUCUUCCGUUAAAUCCACCUGCUUAACAGAUGGGCUGCGGAAGAUACUAUAGAGCUAGGAGGCGGGAGAGGCAAGCGGUACUUAGUGGGUAGGGGUAAAAUCCGUUGAUCCAUUGAAGACCACCAGUGGCGAAGGCGGCUUGCCAGAACGCACUCGACGGUGAGGGAUGAAAGCUGGGGGAGCAAACCGG
rnacentral:rRNA from 1 species